rnacentral:tRNA from 1 species
GGUGGUAUAGCUCAAUGGUAGAGUGAGUGCUUAGCAUGCAUGAGUUCCUGGGUUCAAUCCCCAGGACCUCCA